rnacentral:tRNA from 1 species
GUGGGUAUGGCUCAGUGGCAGAGUGCGUGCCAAGCAUGCACCAGGUCCUGGGUUCAAUUCCUAGUACCUCCA